UAGGGAAUAUUGGACAAUGGGCGCAAGCCUGAUCCAGCAAUGCCGCGUGAGUGAUGAAGGCCUUAGGGUUGUAAAGCUCUUUUACCCGGGAUGAUAAUGACAGUACCGGGAGAAUAAGCCCCGGCUAACUCCGUGCCAGCAGCCGCGGUAAUACGGAGGGGGCUAGCGUUGUUCGGAAUUACUGGGCGUAAAGCGCACGUAGGCGGCGAUUUAAGUCAGAGGUGAAAGCCCGGGGCUCAACCCCGGAACUGCCUUUGAGACUGGAUUGCUUGAACAUCGGAGAGGUGAGUGGAAUUCCGAGUGUAGAGGUGAAAUUCGUAGAUAUUCGGAAGAACACCAGUGGCGAAGGCGGCUCACUGGACGAUUGUUGACGCUGAGGUGCGAAAGCGUGGGGAGCAAACAGG
rnacentral:rRNA from 1 species